rnacentral:misc_RNA from 1 species
GCCGGCCGCAGCUGGUCGCAGUGCAGUGAUCUGUUCGUGUGCUGUGCUGUGUGUGUGUGACAUGUGGAGCGUCGUGGGCCGCUGCGUGUGGGCGUCGGCCCGCCGCCAAGGAAGUCGCUGCCUCGCGUCUUCCUCAGCCGCCGCCCCCUCCAGGGUGAUCCAGUCCCCGCUGGGCGAGGUGCAGGUGCCGGAACUCAGCGUCACGCAAUACCUCUGGCAGGACUACCACAGGUGGCCCGACAAGAAAGCCAUCACGUGCGCGGAGACGGGGCACAGCCUGACGUACGGCGAAGUGCGCGACCAGUGCCGGCGGCUGGCCUGGGCCCUGCUGUCGGAGCUGGGCAUGCAGCCGGGGGAGGUGCUGGGCAUCGUGCUGCCCAACAGCCCCGAGUUCCUGGUCGCCGUCCACGGCGCGCUCGAGGCCGGCCUCGUCGUCACGUUCGCCAACCCCGCCUACACCGCCGAGGAGGUGUGCCGGCAGUUCCGGGACAGCGGCGUGCGCUGCCUGGUGACGACGUUCUCGCGGCUGGUGCCCCUGGAGGAGGUGCGCCAGCAGCUGGGCCCGCGCUUCCGCGGCACCAUCGUGGUGGACGGCGGCGCGCCCGGCGCGCACAACUGGAGCCGCCUGCUGUCGCGGGCCUCCCCCGUGGCGCUGCCGCCGCCGGGGAAGCCCCAACAGCUCGCAGUGCUGCCAUACUCCAGCGGCACCACCGGCCUGCCCAAGGGCGUCUGCCUCUCCCACUACAACCUGGUCGCCAACCUGCAGAUGUUCAACCACCCCAGGCUGCUCUUCUUCCAGCCCACAACAGCCAGCUACCAAGAGGUGGUGCUGAGCAUCCUGCCCUUCUACCACAUCUACGGCUUCAACAUCAUCCUCAACCUCACUGUGUCACUCGGCAUCCACAAUGUCACCUUGCCCAAGUUUACUCCUGCCAGUUUUGUCAAAGCCCUAGAGGAUUACAAGCCAACUAUGAUGUUUGUCGUUCCAUCAUUACUGUUGUUCCUGGCAACACACCCGAUGGUGAAACCGGAGCACCUGGCGAGCCUGAAGAUGAUAAUGAGUGGUGCGGCUCCGGCCAAGGAGAGCCUCAUCCAGAAGUUCCUCGACAAGGCCGGCCACGACGUCUUCGUUGGUCAAGGCUUUGGGAUGACUGAAUCGUCUCCUGUGGUGACCGUGAUGCCCCUGGACAGGCCCACCAGCAAGUAUGACAGCUGUGGCCAACUGGCCCCUGGUACGAAGGCUCGCAUCGUCUCGCUGAAGGACGGCACCGACCAGGGUCCUGGAGAAACUGGCGAGCUCCUCGUAAAGGGUCCACAGGUCAUGAUGGGAUACUUCAACAACGAGAAAGCGACCCGAGAAACAAUUGACAGUGACGGGUGGCUCCACACGGGCGAUGUUGCGUACUACGAUGAGGACGGCUAUUUCUACAUUGUAGACCGCACGAAGGAGCUCAUCAAAGUCAAAGGAAACCAGGUGUCACCAACAGAACUCGAGAGCAUCAUCAUGGAGUUGCCUGAAGUAGCAGAUGUUGCAGUGGUUGGUAUGCCAGAUGAGAUUAGUGGAGAGGUGCCAAAGGCAUUCAUCGUACUCAAAUCUGAGCAGAAGUUGACGGCCGAGGCUGUCGAAGAACACGUAACUCCCCGAGUCGCCCGUUAUAAACGCCUUGCUGGCGGUGUAGAGUUUAUCAGUGAAAUUCCACGCAAUCCAUCUGGUAAAGUACUGCGUGCUCAACUGAGAGAUGGCUCAUGGAAGAAUAAAAAGGAAGAUGGACUAGUAUAAAUUAACAUAAGAGAAAUGCAGCCGUUACAUUCUGUUCCAGCUUUCACUGUGAGAAUCUGUUGUAUUGUUUAUAAAUCAAAUGAACUAAGAUAUGAACUGUUGAUUUACACAGUUUGAUGCUGCAGACAAGGCUGUUGUUUGGAGUUAACCUGGUGCUACAUGUGUGUUCUGGUGCAUUUGCAGGCAAUCACAACUGUGAACCUGUUUGACAAGAAAAAAGUGGAACAAAUUUUAAUUUCCACUUAUAUUUUCAUUUACCACUGUAGCAAGAAAAUAAUACUGUCUGUUCUCCAUACAGAAAGCUCUGCUGUUCAGUAUUAUAAGAAAUAUUACAUUCUGAAUGCAUCCCCUGAUACAAAUUAUGAAAUGUGAUAUUUGAGAAGACAAAUUUUGUUGACUACAUUCAGUCGUAUACUUUAUAUUUCACAGUGUACGAUGACAAGACCUUAUGAAAAUCAGUAAGUCUUCCAGGCCAGUACUUAUUACAGAUGAUCUUUGUGUAAUAAAUUUGUUUCUUUCCCUAUUACUUGUUCUUAUGUUCGAUGUUACUGUAUUAUUAUGUUAUUGAAGUCAUUCCUUUUUUAUAGUUAAUUCAGUAGCUAUUUUUUAUUUUCUGUGUAUGUUUUCUAAUUAUAUGAAUAGAGCUGUUUAUUUGUAUAUGUUUAUGUACAUAUGGUGUGUAAGUAAUCAACACAUAAAUGUAAAAAUUAUUUUUAUUAUCACACAUCACUGGUAGUCUUUCUGUCAGUGUUAUAAUGUUGUAUAUAUGCAAUGUGUGUUACGUAAUUUGGUACAAAUAAAGGUAUGUAUAAACCA